UAUACAAAUAUAUAGUAAGAACUCAGUGCAGAGUUACGAAACCAGUAAUGCUGAGAAACAGCGAAUAGGUCAGGACAACGAAGCAAGGAUACUUGUGGAUAGUCGGCUGUGGCAGUAAUCGUGAGGUUAUUGUCGGAGAGGGUGGAACCCCAAACCUAAGUUGUUGUGCAUUACUUAUCGCAAGAAAAGGUAGCAUGUGGGUCGGAGGAGUAAUAGAAGCGGUUGUUAAUAGCAUCCGCCGAAUCGGAGUUAGGGAUUAACAGGUGGUGCUGAAUUCAAACCUACGAAAUACCAAUAAUCCUCUUUGCCGUGAAGCAGAGAAAUCUGUGUAUAAGACCUGCGUGUCGCAUUUGAGUAGCCCAAGGCAAGACACAGAAAAGUUCAAGACAGUUGGGUACUGUUAUUUAUUUUUCUAACCGUAAGGUGGGUGAAAGAUGGGGGUAAUCAUUCCCUCAUAGGAUUUGGGGUUUUCCAGUGGGAAAACCUGGGGCAUAUGAGAUUGAGGUCGCUCCUUGAUCUGCGGAUAUGCUUCCCUAUUGACUGAAUAUUCUUGAAGAUAAGUUGAUGUAAGGGUAAUGCCUCUUAACUGUAUAUUUGUA
rnacentral:sRNA from 1 species